GAUGAACGCUGGCGGCGUGCCUAAUACAUGCAAGUCGAGCGAACAGACGAGGAGCUUGCUCCUCUGACGUUAGCGGCGGACGGGUGAGUAACACGUGGAUAAUCUACCUAUAAGACUGGGAUAACUUCGGGAAACCGGAGCUAAUACCGGAUAAUAUAUUGAACCGCAUGGUUCAAUAGUGAAAGACGGUUUUGCUGUCACUUAUAGAUGGAUCCGCGCCGCAUUAGCUAGUUGGUAAGGUAACGGCUUACCAAGGCAACGAUGCGUAGCCGACCUGAGAGGGUGAUCGGCCACACUGGAACUGAGACACGGUCCAGACUCCUACGGGAGGCAGCAGUAGGGAAUCUUCCGCAAAGGGCGAAAGCUUGACGGAGCAACGCCGCGUGAGUGAUGAAGGUCUUCGGAUCGUAAAACUCUGUUAUUAGGGAAGAACAAAUGUGUAAGUAACUAUGCACGUCUUGACGGUACCUAAUCAGAAAGCCACGGCUAACUACGUG
rnacentral:rRNA from 1 species